rnacentral:rRNA from 1 species
GAGUUUGAUCCUGGCUCAGGACGAACGCUGGCGGCGUGCUUAACACAUGCAAGUGGAGCGACGAACCAGGGCUUGCCCUGGGGCAAAGCCGCGAACGGGUGAGUAACACGUGGGUAACCUGCCCUGAUGAUUGGGACAACCCGAGGAAACUCGGGCUAAUACCAAAUGUGCUCUUCGGUCAUAAGGCCGUCGAGGAAAGGUAGCUUCGGCUUCCGCAUCAGGAUGGGCCCGCGGCCCAUUAGCUUGUUGGUGGGGUAACGGCCUACCAAGGCUCCGAUGGGUAGCUGGUCUGAGAGGACGAUCAGCCACACUGGGACUGAGACACGGCCCAGACUCCUACGGGAGGCAGCAGUGGGGAAUCUUGCACAAUGCGCGAAAGCGUGAUGCAGCAACGCCGCGUGGGGGAAGAAGGCCUUCGGGUUGUAAACCCCUUUCAGUUGGGACGAAGCUUCUGCGGUGAACAGCCGUACGGAGUGACGGUACCUUCAGAAGAAGCCCCGGCUAACUACGUGCCAGCAGCCGCGGUAAUACGUAGGGGGCAAGCGUUGUCCGGAAUUAUUGGGCGUAAAGCGCGUGUAGGCGGCUCGGUAAGUCUGCUGUGAAAGUCCAGGGCUCAACCCUGGAACGCCGGUGGAUACUGUCGAGCUCGAGUCCGGAAGAGGCGAGUGGAAUUCCUGGUGUAGCGGUGAAAUGCGCAGAUAUCAGGAGGAACACCAAUGGCGAAGGCAGCUCGCUGGGACGGUACUGACGCUGAGACGCGAAAGCGUGGGGAGCAUACGGGAUUAGAUACCCUGGUAGUCCACGCCCUAAACGAUGUCUACU